UGCGUAGGUGGCGAGGUAAGUCGGAUGUGAAAGCUCGGAGCUCAACUCCGAAAUGGCAUUGGAAACUACCUUGCUUGAGGGUUGGAGGGGGGACUGGAAUUCUCGGUGUAGCAGUGAAAUGCAUAGAUAUCGAGAGGAACACCAGUGGCGAAGGCGAGUCCCUGGACAACUCCUGACACUGAGGCACGAAAGCUAGGGAGCAAACA
rnacentral:rRNA from 1 species